rnacentral:rRNA from 1 species
UACGGAGGGUGCAAGCGUUGCUCGGAAUUAUUGGGCGUAAAGGGCAGGUAGGUGGUCUCAUUUGUCUGGGGUGAAAGCCUUGAGCUUAACUCAAGAAGUGCCCCAGAAACGGUGAGACUGGAGUCCUAGAGAGGGUCGUGGAAUUCCCGGUGUAGCGGUGAAAUGCGUAGAGAUCGGGAGGAACACCAGAGGCGAAGGCGGCGACCUGGAUAGGUACUGACACUCAACUGCGAAAGCGUGGGGAGCAAACAGG